UGUGUGUGUUUACGGUUUCAUUUGACACUGUCUCGCUCCCACAACACAGGUCCAAGAAGGCCCAGCCUUUCCACCAGUCGAGCUCAAUCACGCCUCCUUCAAGCAACACAAUAAAGGGUGAUGUCAACAUGUUCGUGGCUUCAGUGUUUCACCAGUCACAUAACUCAUCUAGGCACUGGUCGGGGACCACUUCCCGAGCACCACGAAGCAGCAGUGCCCACUGAGGCCCAGAUCCACGCCGAAGGCUACAGCCGAGGUCCCAUUCCAAUUCACCACGGCCGAGGAGCGUCGGGAAAUCUGUGGACAGCGCUCGGGGAGGAGACAAAAGGCACUCACACGUAGUGACACAAUCUUGAUUUUAAAGAAACAAAUAAAAAUAAAUCACCCACACAAAUUGUACUGGUAUAGAGGGUCCUUCAAUCACUGUGAUUUCAUUUAAAAGUACAAAUAAAGAGAAACACAGAGUGAAA
rnacentral:lncRNA from 1 species